GACGAACGCUGGCGGCGUGCUUAACACAUGCAAGUCGAGCGGAAAGGCCCUGCUUUUGUGGGGUGCUCGAGUGGCGAACGGGUGAGUAACACGUGAGUAACCUGCCCUUGACUUUGGGAUAACUUCAGGAAACUGGGGCUAAUACCGGAUAGGAGCUCCUGCUGCAUGGUGGGGGUUGGAAAGUUUCGGCGGUUGGGGAUGGACUCGCGGCUUAUCAGCUUGUUGGUGGGGUAGUGGCUUACCAAGGCUUUGACGGGUAGCCGGCCUGAGAGGGUGACCGGCCACAUUGGGACUGAGAUACGGCUCAGACUCCUACGGGAGGCAGCAGUGGGGAAUAUUGCACAAUGGGCGGAAGCCUGAUGCAGCAACGCCGCGUGCGGGAUGACGGCCUUCGGGUUGUAAACCGCUUUCGCCUGUGACGAAGCGUGAGUGACGGUAAUGGGUAAAGAAGCACCGGCUAACUACGUG
rnacentral:rRNA from 1 species